GUGAAACAAAGAAUGUAUGUAUAUAUCUACAUGCAGGUGAAAUAGAUGCACUGUUCUUAGGUUGACUGAAGAGGAUACCUAAACCUUCUACUCUUCACAAUGAAGCAUUCCUAAAGGCUUCAUUAGUGACAUUUGCAAUGUAAAUGACAAUUAAAAUAUAUAGGUAUUAAAUGUGACACUAGAUUUGCAAAUCUUUGAUCAUUGACUGUCAACUGGGCAAUGUGCUGACAAAAGAACUUGAUGUCUCAGGAAAACACUCCAUCUUCUGAUAGUGGUCAGUCUUUCACAUGAGUUCCUGUUAAAAAGAAGUGGAAGAAGUAUUUAUUGCAGACACAAAUAGAAAAUUACUUUUUCCAGUACUUGUAAGAUAUUUGUAUGCAAAUCAUCACAAUAGUUUAAAGCUAGGUGUAAGACCUCAUGAUUUAGGCUUGUUGGUAUGCCUGUGUAUAUGUUCAUGGCAGACCAUCAAGCCUGCUGGUACACUCAGGACUCUGAUAGGACAGGAAAUACUUAGUUUCUGAAACAGGACUAGGCUUUCUACUACAUUUGCUCACUUUUAUCUUAAUCUUCUCUAGCUUUGCAUGUACAUCACAACAAUGACUAGCUAAUAUCCAAAAUUAUUUAAGGCAAAUAAAGUUACAGAUUUCAACAAGUUUCAGAAUAUCAGUGUAAGAAGGAAUCCAGUCAGCUGUGGUAAGAAAGGCAGAAAAAUUCAUUUUUUAUUUUUCUAAAUCUUUAUGUUACUCUUUGUUUGCUAAGAUUAAAGUAUUUUAGUGAUUAUAAGUGAUUUAGGGUGCUAGUGGUACUCUACAAGUUACUGCCUUCAACCCCAACUGGCUUCUGGGGCUUGUAACUUUGAGGCAGACCAUAGCAAGACCAAGACUUUCUGGGAAGCAGACACUUCCAAGAGGUGGUGUCCCUCACCUCUCUAUAGAAGUGACUGGGAAAAUGGCUAUAAAAUGGAAGAAAAGAGAUCAGGAAGAAUUAUCUCUAGACAAGGAAGUAGGAGAAGAUCACAGAACUCUUCUAUGGAAGGAGAAAACAGAUGCUCAAAGUGAAGUGUGAUGCAGUGGCAUCCACAAAAAUGGUUGUGGGACCUGGGAGGCCAGAUGAAGGCACUCAGGGCUAAUGAGAAGCAAUGAGCUAGAUAAAUGGGUUAAUUACAUUUAUCUGGAGAGCCCUUCUGUUCAAGGGUGAAGGAGUAAAGCAGGAUUUCUUUGCUUUGGAAGCAGAAAGGCCCAGAGAAAUUUGGGCUGAAAUAGAUGAUAUAACCAAGUCUUUCGCAGGAAGAGAGAAGUACUUGCAAGCAAAGGGGAGCUGAAGGAUUGUCAAAAGAAGGUAAAGGACUUUCCAGAACUUUAUCUAUUUCUUUCAUAACCUGAAGAAAAAAAAUGAAGAAAAUUCACCUUUGCAAAACAGCAGUUUGCCAGGCUACUAAAUGGUUACCCUGAAAAUAAAUAAAUAAAUUUAGAAAGCUGAGGUGGGCCAGAGGAGCACAGCUCAAUGUUUUAUGCAAGAGCGGUGAAGAACGUGUCGGCCUGUUGUCAGCUAAUUGCUGCUUGUCUCCAUCUCCAUCAGGUCUGAAAGCAUUCUGUUUUCUCUCUGUCCAUAAGGAAGGAAACUUCUUGUGGUCCUGCUGAGGAAAGUGAACACUUCUUACUCUUUUGGUGAAAACCAUCUUUAUGAGCCAGGUUGUGCCAGCUAAUAAGAUUAAUUUAUAAGUACAAGAAUACCUGGUCACUGAACAAUGAAGGGAAGUUACAUUAUUAAGUUAUUGUAAUUACUAUAAAAUAAGUGAAUCACAGAAGACUAUUUUAGAGUAGGCAUUGUAAAACAAUUAUUAUAUAAACAAUAAAACAAUAACAAGUUACUGACAAGGCUGAUAUAAUGCUUGUUUUUAUUCUAAGGCACAGAAGACUCUGUAACUUAAUUGAAAAUAAUCAUUCAAUCACGUUGAUAAGGCAUAUAUAUGUCACUGUAAUUCUCAAUCUUUCUGGUGAAUUAUCAGCUACU